CACAUACACAUAUACACUCACACAUACAUACCACAAACAUCCAAGUGAAAGCCAAAGAAUCGAAUCUAAAACAAAACCAUUUGUUUCGUCAACGGGCUAGGAAAACUACUCUUCCCAAUGUUGGCACGGAUGUCUAUUUCCUUCUAUCUCUCCCAGCCUGGCUGCCCUUGGUUUUAUUUCAGAAAUAUAGUUGAACUGGACAAAGGAAUACACAUGCCUUUGGUUUUUAAUAGCUGUUGAUUAAAAUGGAGCCCAGAGCUCGGUCGGGUCUAUGGUUUCCCUGGCCAUUAAAGCAUUUCCUUUUAGUGGCUUAAUUCACUUUAUUCCCAAUGAUGCCAAAGGGGGAAAUAUAUCUAUAUCUACAUGCCUAUAUACAUUCUGAGCCUAAUUAUGCAGCUGGCCACAUUAAUAACCUGCAUCAAAAGGAGGAUUCAACACCUAAAAGACAGACAGACAGACAGAGCUGCAGUUAUUUGUUGCUAGCAAGUUGCCUGAUCCAGGUGCUGGAGUAUUUGCAUGUCUUUCCACCUUUGUUCCUUCAGAGGCGUGAGGGUCUCAAGCUAUUGCUGACUAAUUGAUAGUUAUAGUAACGGCUACAGGCUCCUUAGAUUAGAAAUGCAUGCAGACGUGUGUCUUGAUUCAAACAUUAAGGAAUGCACACUCUCACUUACACAGGCAGAAAGUCUUCAGACUAAUAGAGGUGUGAUGGGGAUAGCAGGACAUAAAACAGAAGAAGAGAGACACACACACACAGAGACACACAGAGUGAGAGAGAGAGAGAGAGAGAAAGAGAGAGAGAGAGAGAGAGAGAGAGAGAGAGAGAGAGAGAGAGAGAGAGAGAGAGAGAGAUGGCAUGCAGUAAAUAUGCCCCUGCAAAUACUUCUAAAAUGCGUUUGCAAAUGCAGAAGCCUUCAGAACCAUCCAACAGUUCAGAACACCCUUUUUAUUUCUUCUCUGCGGGACGCCUCCAUCCAGACUAUUCGCAAAAAAACGGAAAAGGGAAUCUAGGAAAGUCUUCUGUACCAGAACCCAAAAGGGAUCAUGGCCAAACUCAACCACCCAAGUAAGGAAAAUGAAAGAUGUGGGAAGACAACAUGGUCUAAUUAAUGGAAAUAGUCUAAGGGU
ensembl:lncRNA